rnacentral:rRNA from 1 species
GUCUAUGGCCAUACUACCCUGAAUACAACCUACCUUGUCUGAUCUUACAAGCUAAGUAGGGUUGGGCCUUGGUUAGUACUUGGAUGGGAGACCACCCAGAAAUAUUGGAUGCUACAGUCU